CAUUCCCAUAUCCUUUUCAUUACAAUUCUUUAUACCUGGAAUAUUUCCAAUAAUCAAAUCAAUAUGAGCAUGGUUUAUUACACAUGCAUCCACCAUUCCAGUAAAAUAUGGUGUAUAAUUGUUAAUUCUAGCAACUGGUAAUUGUACGGUCUUCCCAUCAAACAUUACGCAGUUCCUGAUUUUGCCGGUAUAGUAUUUUUCUUCUACCAAUUGCCUAUCAACUCCCACUAUUGUACUCCAUGUAUCUCUUAUCGUUCUUACUAGUUUGUUUUCAACGAAGGUCUCAAAAUACUCCAGGCUUCCUGCCUCCUGCACAUGUUAACAUUGACAGGCUUUGAUCUCUUCUAUCUCUUACCCCGAAACGUGCCGCAUCUUCAAUUUUAUCUCCAUAAAGAACGUUUUACAAAACUGUAAAAUUAUAUAGGCAACACUAUUUUCGAAAAAUAGCAACGGACUCGUUUCGUAAUAUUUCGCUAUGUAAAUUUGGAUUCUAAAAAUAGUGUUAAAUCUAUAUAGGCUAAAUUAAAAAUAAAACCUAAAAAUUGUGUUAUUAUUAUGAAUAAGUUUCUUUUUUUUUUUCAUUACUUUCUUAAAACAAAAACUCACGGACCUCACACUGUAGGAGCCCAAAUCGCUGCUAUAGAUACCCAGCUUCUAAGGAGGGCUUCAACGAAAAUUUUGUCAUGUAGGUGUUUCACCCGGAGACAAGUUUUAGAAGACUUCCAACAUCGCCAUUGUUCUUUCUGAAUGUUUAACAUUAACUUCAUAGGAGACAAGUUUUAGAAGACUUCCAACAGCACCAUUGUUUUGUCUGAAUGUUUGACAUUAACUUCAUAUGAGACAAGUUUUAGAAGACUUCCAACAGCGACAUUGUUCUGUCUGAAUGUUUACGUCAACUUCACUGGAGACCAAAGUUUUUGAAGGACUUUUGUUAAAGAAAUGAAUGUUUGUCCUACUCCAUUACUGUGAAUAAUUGGAAGUCAUUGUCUUAAUUGUGGAAACCAAGACUCUCAGAAAAAGAAGUUACUCAAGUAUGUUGCAGUCAGUAGGAUAUAUGGGAUGUUGUAGUACAAUGUUGGGAACAAUGCAUACUUUGGACAACUCACAAGAAAUACAAGUGGAAUGUACUAGCACUGAAUUCAAAGCAUUAAUGGUAAUGGCUUCUCCUAUGUUAGGUCAUCUAAUUAUUAGAAAAAGACCUAUCCAAAUAAUUUUCUAUUGCACCUUGUUCUGAGCUUCCAGUUCAGGUCAUUGAAUAUUACACAAACAUUUUGUUUUGUUUUAACACAAAAAAAAUUGAAUAGCACCAAGAGUUUUCAAUGAUUCAUUUUGUAAGUUAAUUGAUAUUUUGUAUAUGUCUUUUGGCUUGUAACUAAAGGCAAUAGAGUUACAUAGCUUUAAUUGUUACAGAUAUAUACAUAAAAUGAGUAGUUGUGGUUCUCCAUAAAUGUUAUAUCUUCAACAUUUUUAAUUUGCAAAUAUUUCUAGAAUUUAAUUCAAUAAAAAAAAAAUAAA